AACUAGCUCUACUAUC
rnacentral:misc_RNA from 1 species